CCUACGGGUGGCAGCAGUGAGGAAUAUUGGUAAAUGGACGCAAGUCUGAACCAGCCAUGCCGCGUGCAGGAAGACGGCUCUAUGAGUUGUAAACUGCUUUUGUACGAGGGUAAACGCAGAUACGCGUAUCUGUCUGAAAGUAUCGUACGAAUAAGCAUCGGCUAACUCCGUGACAGCAGCCGCGGUAAUACGGAGGAUGCGAGCGUUAUCCGGAUUUAUUGGGUUUAAAGGGUGGGUAGGGGGAAUGCCAAGUCAGCGGUAAAAUCGCGGAGCUCAACCUCGCUCUGCCGUUGAAACUGGGGUUCUAGAGUGGGGGAGAGGUAUGCGGAAGGCGUGGUGUAGCGGUGAAAUGCAUAGAUAUCACGAAGAACUCCGAUUGCGAAGGCAGCAUACCGGCGCCCAACUGACGCUGAGGCACGAAAGCGUGGGUAUCGAACAGGAUUAGAUACCCGAGUAGUC
rnacentral:rRNA from 1 species